rnacentral:rRNA from 1 species
GAUGAACGCUGGCGGCGUGCCUAAUACAUGCAAGUCGAGCGAACGGACGAGAAGCUUGCUUCUCGGAUGUUAGCGGCGGACGGGUGAGUAACACGUGGAUAACCUACCUAUAAGACGGGGAUAACUUCGGGAAACCGUAGCUAAGACCGGAUAAUAUUUUGAACCGCAGGGUUCAAAAGUGAAAGACGGUCUUGCUGUCACUUAUAGAUGGAUGCGCGCUGCUGUAGCUAGUUGGUAAGGUAACGGCUUACGAAGGCAACGAUGCAUAGCCGACCUGAGAGCGUGGUCCGACACACUGGAACUGAGACACGGUCCCGACUCCUACGGGAGGCCGCAGUCGAGACUCUUCCGCGAUGGGCGAAAGCCUGACGUAGCAACGCCGCGUGAGUGAUGAAGGUCUUCGGAUCGUAAAACUCUGUUGUUAGGGAAGAACAAAUGUGUAAGUAACUGUGCACAUCUUGACGGUACCUAAUCAAAAAGCCCCGGCUAACUACGUG